UACGAAGGGGGCUAGCGUUGUUCGGAUUUACUGGGCGUAAAGCGCACGUAGGCGGAUUGUUAAGUCAGGGGUGAAAGGCCUGGGCUCAACCGAGGAACUGCUUUCGAGACUGCCGAGCUAGAGUGCGGAAGGGGCAACCGGAAUUCCCAGUGUAGCGGUGAAAUGCGUAGAUAUUGGGAAGAACACCUGAGGCGAAGGCGGGUUGCUGGGCCGACACUGACGCUGAGGCGCGAAAGCCAGGGGAGCAAACGGG
rnacentral:rRNA from 1 species